GACGAACGCUGGCGGCGUGCUUAACACAUGCAAGUCGAACGCAGUGGCGAACGGGUGCGUAACACGUGGGUGAUCUGCCUUGCACUUCGGGAUAAGCUUGGGAAACUGGGUCUAAUACCUGCUAGUGCAAGCUGAGCUCGCGGCCUAUCAGCUUUUUGGUGGGGUAAUGUCCUACCAAGGCGUCGACGGGUAGCCGGCCUGAGAGGGUGUACGGCCACAGUGGGACUGAGAUACGGCCCAGACGCGUACGGGAGGCAGCAGGGGGGAAUAUUGCACAAUGGGCGGAAGCCUGAUGCAGCGACGCCGCGGGGGGGAUGAAGGCCUUCGGGUUGUAAACUGCGUUCGACAGGGACGCGGUACCUGUAGAAGAAGCACCGGCUAACUACGUGCCAGCCGCCGCGGUAAUAC
rnacentral:rRNA from 1 species